rnacentral:lncRNA from 1 species
GGGAAUGCUGAGCUUCAGUGUGCAGCAGGACUGGGUGGUUUGGAAGUAAAGGUAGCUAAGAAAUAAGCAGUCUUGGGUGGUUAGUAAAAGACUAGAUAGUUCUCGGCCUUCUCAACUUGUGACUCAUGUGUCUCCUUCCACUGUGCAGCAGACGCCAACAUGCAGAUCUUCGUGAAGACCCUGACGGGCAAGACCAUCACUCUUGAGGUCGAGCCCAGUGACACCAUCGAGAAUGUCAAGGCCAAGAUCCAAGACAAGGAAGGUGGGCUGUGCUGUUGAGGGCUCUGUCCUAGGGGGUGGGAGUGCUUGAGCUUGGUUGCCUCUGGGUGACUGGAGUGGUCUCAGCUACUACUGGAAGGAGCUGUAACCAGCCUGGUUUUCUGGUGCACAGGCAUCCCCCCUGACCAGCAGAGACUGAUCUUUGCUGGCAAACAGCUGGAGGAUGGCCGCACCCUGUCCGACUACAACAUCCAGAAAGGUAAGGGCUCUAUUGCUUGUAGGUGGGGCUGACUGUGGACUGCUGUUCCAGUCACCUGGCAUCUUCUCUAUGUGUUUACAGUGGGAAUGUGUGGUUGUUGUGAGCUAGGGGAAGAAGACAGCUUUUUGAAAUAGGUUCCUCUCAAGCUUUGUGUGGGCUUCAGGGCUUGAGCCCAGGUCACUAGACAGGCCCAUCUGUGUGCCCUUACUUGCCACGCCUUUACUUCUGUCUUUUUGUUAUUGUGUCAGCUUAGGCCCAGAGUGUCUAGAAGAACUCCUUUUAGCUCGUGUUAGCUUCAAACCCAUUUGAGCAUUUAUUCCGAUGUUCUGUGUUCAUGUCACCACACUCAAACACAACACACACACACAUACAUUGUGUGCAUCUCUGCAUAGCACUGACUAUUCUGUGCUCAAAUCCCGUGUGCCAUUACGUCUGGCUGCCUGUUCUCUGUGUGGGUGUGUGUAAGCCUGAGUGGAGCACCGGGGAGUGAGGUGCCAGUGUGUCAUGGCACCUGGAUGCUUGCUGUGCUGUGUAGGGCUGACUGACUGCCACUGGGCAUGUCUCUUGCAGUUUGACUUGUGCUUGCACGGGACCCAUAAAGCUCCCCGAUGCCAGCACCGUAGUGACCGCCCCUUCUUCUGGCCUCAGUCUCAGUUCUUUACUGUCUGGCCUCUGUGGAAGAAUCUUUGGGGUGUGCUCCUUGGGGUUUUUUGGGCAGCCCACACCCUGUCCUGUGUGAGAUCUACCCUGAGCUGCCCGGGCGGGACUCAGCUUUUGUCAUCUUUGACAGAGUCCACCUUGCACCUGGUGCUGCGUCUUCGCGGUGGCAUCAUCGAGCCGUCCCUUCGUCAGCUUGCCCAGAAGUACAACUGUGACAAGAUGAUCUGCCGCAAGUGCUACGCACGCCUGCACCCCCGUGCAGUCAACUGCCGCAAGAAGAAGUGCGGCCACACCAACAACCUGCGCCCCAAGAAGAAGGUCAAAUAGAGCUGGGCCAUACCUGGCCUGUGACCCCGGGACCAAAUAAAGUCCCCUUCCAUCGACUGGAGCAGU